ensembl:lincRNA
AGAGCUGGAUAUCAAGCACAAGAAGCAAUGGGUAAUGCGCUCAAAUUUUGGAAAUAAUACCUUAAGUCUAGUUCAGUAGUUUGGGGAGAGUUACGUUGAAAUGAAAAAGCAGAAAAAAACUGGCAGAAAGAAAAGGGAAGCAUGGAAGUAGAUAUCCCCAGGAGAGUCAGAGGGGCUGUACAUGAUCCUAAGAGCUGAAGAGCACCUCCCAGAGUCUGAUAGGUUUGUAGUUCACAUCAAGACUCUUUUCUUGAUCCCCAGGUUUACCAUAAUUCUCUUUACUUUGAGCACACUGAAUGGGUCUCUGCUCCCUGCAGUUAAAAAUAAAAAAGGAAAGGAAAGGAAAAAGAGCUCCUCCUGUUCCGGUCCCAGGUCAGUCCUCACCUGGCUUCUGAAUCUUCCAUAUGCUUAUUUUAUUUCAUGAAAAUGGUAAAAGUAUUGCAAAUGACAACUGAGAAACCAAAGGACUGUGGAGUGGUUUGAGAGGCUUCACAGAUGAAACAGAAGUGGUCGUUUUGAGAAUAUGUUUUACUUCAUUUAUCAAAGUAGUUCUUUAAAAAAACAUUUAGACUUAGUUACAUUCAUGACUAGGAUAAUAUAGCCAUAGCCUAUGACUAUUUUUGGUGUCAGGAUAGUUAACGUAUUUUAAUAUUACCCACAAUUCAAAAAGCAUUAUGAAUAAUAUUAUUUAAAUAUCAUGAAUUCUGCAAUGGUGUUAGCCAUAAAUAUCAAGAACAAGGUUGUAACUACUAUGAACUCCUUUCACUUCAGGCACAUCCCCAUGAGCAAGGCGGUCCCACAGUCACAGAAGGAAGCUUCAGAAAGUGCGCCAAUGAGCAAAAAGGCAUCAGUGCACAGUCUGGGCUCACCGCACCAGUGGCUCCUCAGCCGGAGUCUUACCCAGCUAACUCCCAGGGAGUUAACGAUAAUGACAAUCAGUAGCUCUCUCGUAUCCUCCAGAAAUGCCAGACCCAGCCUGAAGUCAGAGAUGGCCCGAGGUGACCCAGUCCAAUUUCCUCACCUGAUUUAUCUCUUGAAGGAUGUCGGCAGCAAUAGCCAGUGCAGAACCAGCCCUCUCCAUACAGCAAGCAGUGUUUGUAUAUAUUUCAGUGUAUCCAAGCGAGUCCUUUUUCACUUUCCAUGCUACGGACGGAGCUGUACUUUCCUGAAUGGAAGCCAGGAAAAAACUUGCAGAUUUGGCAGGAAGACUGUGGGAAGCCUGCUGCAACACCAAGCUGAAAUCUGGGGCAGGAGCUUUCUACAAAGGCAGACGAGUGAAACACCUUCCUUUGUUUAGCUCUAGUUUGAGCACAAAUGGAGCCCCCAGAUCGCAAUCAGGCCCUAUUGUAUAAACUUGGGGUUUCCAUGGCACACAACAUUUCUGGCACCACCUUCCCUAUUAUUUUUCAGCUGGAAAACCAAUUAGCAUUCUUUUUAUAUCUGGGUGUUAAUACUUAGGCCUUAGAGCAAGUUUUUGGCCACCAGCCCACAUGGCUGUAGUCUCUUGGGUAAUGCCUGACAAAUUAAGAUAAAACCAUUACUUCAUGUUUUCAUACAAAGAGAAAACAAAAACUGUUUCCUGCGCUUAUUAAUUGAAUGAAGUCAAUUUCCACAUUCAACAAAUAAAAAGGUGGGCAUAAUCAGGGUGUCUACCCUUGGCUCUUAUCUCUCUCCAGGCUAGUUCCUCUGCAGGAAUGCGAAGGAGGAAGACCUGUCAGGUUCUGACUAAGUUUUUCUUCUCUUGGAUCAAAAUCCUCCUGGUCAACAGAGGCCUCUGUUAAGUGGAUGGCCUUUGAGGGCUACGGGGUCAUGCUUUGUCCUCUGGCAUUUUUAUUUUGCAAAUUUUAGUGCUAUGAUUUACCUAAAGGAAAGCUGUUAGGAGGAGA